rnacentral:rRNA from 1 species
AUUGAACGCUGGCGGAAUGCUUUACACAUGCAAGUCGAACGGCAGCACGGGGGCAACCCUGGUGGCGAGUGGCGAACGGGUGAGUAAUACAUCGGAACGUGCCCAGUCGUGGGGGAUAACGUAGCGAAAGUUACGCUAAUACCGCAUACGAUCUAUGGAUGAAAGCGGGGGACCGUAAGGCCUCGCGCGAUUGGAGCGGCCGAUGUCGGAUUAGGUAGUUGGUGGGGUAAAGGCUCACCAAGCCGACGAUCUGUAGCUGGUCUGAGAGGACGACCAGCCACACUGGGACUGGGACACGGCCCAGACUCCUACGGGAGGCAGCAGUGGGGAAUUUUGGACAAUGGGCGCAAGCCUGAUCCAGCCAUUCCGCGUGCAGGAUGAAGGCCCUCGGGUUGUAAACUGCUUUUGUACGGAACGAAACGGUCUGCUCUAAUACAGCGGGCUAAUGACGGUACCGUAAGAAUAAGCACCGGCUAACUACGUGCCAGCCGCCGCCGUAA